CCGUAACUAUAACGGUCCUAAGGUAGCGAAAUUCCUUGUCGGGUAAGUUCCGACCUGCACGAAUGGCGUAAUGAUGGCCAGGCUGUCUCCACCCGAGACUCAGUGAAAUUGAACUCGCUGUGAAGAUGCAGUGUACCCGCGGCAAGACGGAAAGACCCCGUGAACCUUUACUAUAGCUUGACACUGAACACUGGUCCUUGAUGUGUAGGAUAGGUGGGAGGCUUUGAAGUGUGGACGCCAGUCUGCAUGGAGCCAUCCUUGAAAUACCACCCUUUAAUGGCUGGUGUUCUAACGUGGGCCCGUAAUCCGGGUUGCGGACAGUGUCUGGUGGGUAGUUUGACUGGGGCGGUCUCCUCCUAAAGAGUAACGGAGGAGCACGAAGGUCAGCUAAUCCUGGUCGGACAUCAGGAGGUUAGUGCAAUGGCAUAAGCUGGCUUGACUGCGAGCGUGACGGCGCGAGCAGGUGCGAAAGCAGGUCAUAGUGAUCCGGUGGUUCUGAAUGGAAGGGCCAUCGCUCAACGGAUAAAAGGUACUCCGGGGAUAACAGGCUGAUACCGCCCAAGAGUUCAUAUCGACGGCGGUGUUUGGCACCUCGAUGUCGGCUCAUCACAUCCUGGGGCUGAAGUAGGUCCCAAGGGUAUGGCUGUUCGCCAUUUAAAGUGGUACGCGAGCUGGGUUUAGAACGUCGUGAGACAGUUCGGUCCCUAUCUGCCGUGGGCGCUGGAGAAUUGAGGGGGGCUGCUCCUAGUACGAGAGGACCGGAGUGGACGCAUCACUGGUGUUCGGGUUGUCAUGCCAAUGGCAUUGCCCGGUAGCUAAAUGCGGAAGAGAUAAGUGCUGAAAGCAUCUAAGCACGAAACUUGCCCCGAGAUGAGUUCUCCCUGACCCUUUAAGGGUCCUGAAGGAACGUUGAAGACGACGACGUUGAUAGGCCGGGUGUGUAAGCGCAGCGAUGCGUUGAGCUAACCGGUACUAAUGAACCGUGAGGCUUAACCUU
rnacentral:rRNA from 1 species